UACGGAGGGUGCGAGCGUUGUUCGGAAUCACUGGGCGUAAAGGGCGUGUAGGCGGUCCGCUAAGUCUGAUGUGAAAGCCCGGGGGCUCACCCCCCGGAAGUGCAUUGGAAACUGGCGGACUCGAGUCCCGGAGAGGAGGGUGGAAUUCCUGGUGUAGCGGUGAAAUGCGUAGAUAUCAGGAGGAACACCGGUGGCGAAGGCGGCCCUCUGGACGGUGACUGACGCUGAGACGCGAAAGCGUGGGGAGCAAACAGG
rnacentral:rRNA from 1 species